rnacentral:rRNA from 1 species
UAGGGAAUCUUCUNGCAAUGGACGGAAGUCUGACCGAGCAACGCCGCGUGAGUGAAGAAGGUUUUCGGAUCGUAAAGCUCUGUUGUAAGAGAAGAACGAGUGUGAGAGUGGAAAGUUCACACUGUGACGGUAUCUUACCAGAAAGGGACGGCUAACUACGUGCCAGCAGCCGCGGUAAUACGUAGGUCCCGAGCGUUGUCCGGAUUUAUUGGGCGUAAAGCGAGCGCAGGCGGUUAGAUAAGUCUGAAGUUAAAGGCUGUGGCUUAACCAUAGUACGCUUUGGAAACUGUUUAACUUGAGUGCAAGAGGGGAGAGUGGAAUUCCAUGUGUAGCGGUGAAAUGCGUAGAUAUAUGGAGGAACACCGGUGGCGAAAGCGGCUCUCUGGCUUGUAACUGACGCUGAGGCUCGAAAGCGUGGGGAGCAAACAGGAUUAGAUACCCUGGUAGUCCACGCUGUAAACGAUGAGUGCUAGGUGUUAGACCCUUUCUGGGGUUUAGUGCCGUAGCUAACGCAUUAAGCACUCCGCCUGGGGAGUACGACCGCAAGGUUG